UGCGGUGUAGAGAAAUUGGAAAUCUCGCCAGGCUCAUAAUCUGGAGAUCGCAGGUUCAAGUCCUGCCGCCGCGC
rnacentral:tRNA from 1 species